rnacentral:rRNA from 1 species
GACGAACGCUGGCGGCGUGCUUAACACAUGCAAGUCGAACGGAAAGGCCCUGCUUUUGUGGGGUGCUCGAGUGGCGAACGGGUGAGUAACACGUGAGUAACCUGCCCUUGACUUUGGGAUAACUUCAGGAAACUGGGGCUAAUACCGGAUAGGAGCUCCUGCUGCAUGGUGGGGGUUGGAAAGUUUCGGCGGUUGGGGAUGGACUCGCGGCUUAUCAGCUUGUUGGUGGGGUAGUGGCUUACCAAGGCUUUGACGGGUAGCCGGCCUGAGAGGGUGACCGGCCACAUUGGGACUGAGAUACGGCCCAGACUCCUACGGGAGGCAGCAGUGGGGAAUAUUGCACAAUGGGCGGAAGCCUGAUGCAGCAACGCCGCGUGCGGGAUGACGGCCUUCGGGUUGUAAACCGCUUUCGCCUGUGACGAAGCGUGAGUGACGGCAAUGGGUAAAGAAGCACCGGCUAACUACGUA